rnacentral:rRNA from 1 species
AACUUCUGAAUGUUGACCUCGGAUCAGGUAGGAA